UAAACGAUGAAUGCCAGUCGUCGGGUUGCAUGCAAUUCGGUGACACACCUAACGGAUUAAGCAUUCCGCCUGGGGAGUACGGCCGCAAGGUUAAAACCCAAAGGAAUUGACGGGGGCCCGCACAAGCGGUGGAGCAUGUAGUUUAAUUCGAAGCAACGCGCAGAACCUUACCAACCCUUGACAUGGCAGUGACCGUUCCAGAGAUGGUCCUUUCUCGCAAGAGACACUGCACACAGGUGCUGCAUGGCUGUCGUCAGCUCGUGUCGUGAGAUGCUCGGUUAAGUCCGGCAACGAGCGCAACCCACGCCUUUAGUUGCCAGCAUUCAGUUGGGCACUCUAAAGGAACUGCCGGUGAUAAGCCGGAGGAAGGUGUGGAUGACGUCAAGUCCUCAUGGCCCUUACGGGUUGGGCUACACACGUGCUACAAUGGUGGUGACAAUGGGUUAAUCCCUAAAAGCCAUCUCAGUUCGGAUUGUCGUCUGCAACUCGGCGGCAUGAAGUCGGAAUCGCUAGUAAUCGCGUAACAGCAUGACGCGGUGAAUACGUUCCCGGGCCUUGUACACACCGCCCGUCACACCAUGGGAAUUGGGUCUACCCGAAGACGGUGCGCCAACCUGCAAAGGGGGUAGCUGGCCACGGUAGGCUCAGUGACUGGGGUGAAGUCGUAACAAGGUAGCCGUAGGGGAACCUGCGGCUGGAUCACCUCCUU
rnacentral:rRNA from 1 species